AACUCUGAAGCCUUCAAUCCAAGGACUUUCUGCUUCUUUUUUCUUUUUCUUUUCUGUUAGAAUCAGUGGGGAAUAAAUUGCCAGACAGGCUAACACGUUCUGCUGGCUUGCCUGGCACUGGAGGACACAGUGACACACGGUGGCAGCCAGGGUGUGUGUGCCAGCAGUGCCCUGGUGGCAGCAGUGUCUGUGCCCAGCCCUGGCAUGCCCUGUGUCCUGUGCCCAGCUCAGGAGCUCAGCAGAAGGAGGUACUGUCCUGCCCGUGGGACUGCAGCACCCUGACCGCAGAGACAUCAAAGCACAGCAUCCUCCGGGAAAAAGGAGAGAUAAAGGGAGAAGAAAAUGCUCCAGAAGCAGCAACAAGCUGGAGUUGUGUUCAGCCCCUUUUGGAACAAUAACCUCCCUGGAGGUGUGCUGGGCGCUCCAGCGGCGCGCAGCGGGCGAGCCGGGGUCUGUGCGCAGCGUAAUCUGAUCAUGCUCUGUGUGGAUAAGAAACACAGCUUCGUGCUUUUCACCUUCCAGGAAAGAGAUUUAUUAUGAAAAUCAGGUCCCUGCCUCAGAGCACGCACAAAACAGUUGGCUUCAUAACCUUGGGGAAAAAAGAUAAAUAAAGAAAUCCCCCGAGACACGUGUGAGAACCGACCCCACUGAUGGUUUAAUGAGGAUGGUGUGUGCCACUCACCUGGAUCAAUCAUUUAUGCAGAUUCCUGCCAAGCCCCCCCCAGGCCCUGUCUCAACCCAGCGAAGAAGAGCGUGCCACGUUUCAGCUGAGUGAUGUCAAACUCUGCAGGGAGCUGAGCACAGCCCUGGCCAGGCAUCCUGUCCCAGGCUCCAAGGGCUGCCACCUUCGUCAGGCCAGAGGGACAUUCCAGGAGCUGAGAUCUGACUGUGGAUCAGCAUCCCUCCUGCUGCCCCAGGGACACCUGGCUUGGUGUGAGCAGAGUGCCUGAAACGGACCCUUUCAUUGC